rnacentral:rRNA from 1 species
AGUGAACGCUGGCGGUAGGCCUAACACAUGCAAGUCGAACGGCAGCACAGUAAGAGCUUGCUCUUACGGGUGGCGAGUGGCGGACGGGUGAGGAAUACAUCGGAAUCUACUUUUUCGUGGGGGAUAACGUAGGGAAACUUACGCUAAUACCGCAUACGACCUACGGGUGAAAGCAGGGGAUCUUCGGACCUUGCGCGAUUGAAUGAGCCGAUGUCGGAUUAGCUAGUUGGCGGGGUAAAGGCCCACCAAGGCGACGAUCCGUAGCUGGUCUGAGAGGAUGAUCAGCCACACUGGAACGGAGACACGGUCCAGACUCCUACGGGAGGCAGCAGUGGGGAAUAUUGGACAAUGGGCGCAAGCCUGAUGCAGCAAUACCGCGUGGGUGAAGAAGGCCUUCGGGUUGUAAAGCCCUUUUGUUGGGAAAGAAAAGCAGCAGGUUAGUACCUCGCUGUUCUGACGGUACCCAAAGAAUAAGCACCGGCUAACUUCGUG